GGGCCGGGCUAGACCGGUGCCAGCCGCCGCGGUAAUACCGGCGGCUCGAGUGGUGGCCACUUUUAUUGGGCUUAAAGCGUUCGUAGCUGGGUUGUUAAGUCUCUUGGGAAAUCUGGCAGCUUAACUGUCAGGCGUCUAAGAGAUACUGGCAAUCUAGGAACCGGGAGAGGUGAGGGGUACUUCGGGGGUAGGAGUGAAAUCCUGUAAUCCUCGAGGGACCACCUGUGGCGAAGGCGCCUCACCAGAACGGCUUCUACAGUGAGGGACGAAAGCUGGGGGAGCAAACCGGAUUAGAUACCCGGGUAGUCCCAGCCGUAAACGAUGCGCGUUAGGUGUGUCGAUGACCACGAGUCAUCGAGGUGCCGAAGGGAAACCGUGAAACGCGCCGCCUGGGAAGUACGGUCGCAAGGCUGAAACUUAAAGGAAUUGGCGGGGGAGCACCACAACAGGUGGAGCCUGCGGUUUAAUUGGACUCAACGCCUGGAAGCUCACCGGAUAGGACAGCUUAAUGUUUGCCGGGCUGAAGACUCUGCAUGACUAGCUGAGAGGAGGUGCAUGGUCGUCGUCUGUUCGUACUGUGAAGCAUUCUGUUAAUUUAGGCAAUUUGCGAGACCCACUCCCUCAUUUGUCAGCACGA
rnacentral:rRNA from 1 species